ensembl:misc_RNA 7SK 7SK RNA
GGAUGUGAGGGUGAUCUGGCUGUGACAUCUGUCACCCCAUUGAUCACCAGGGUUGAUUCGGCUGAUCUGGCUGGCUAGGCGGGUGACCCUUCCUCCCUCACCGCUCCAUGUGUGGCCCUCCUGAAGCUGCUGCGCGCUUGGUCAAAGAGGACGACCUUUCCCAAUAGAGGACUGGUCUUUGGUCAAGGAGUAUCUGCGUUCCCCUGCUAGAACCUCCAAAUAAGCUCUCAAGGAAAAGAUGUAACAUUAGAAUAAUGGUUUUAAAGGCACAGAAUCAAAAGCAUGAUCUUUUCAAGUAAUCUACUUGAUUACAGCUGUUU